rnacentral:tRNA from 1 species
ACCUGGCUGGCUUAGUGGGUAAAGCAUGGGGCUCUUGAUCUGGAGGUUAUAAGUUCGAGCCCCAUGUUGGGUG